AUUGAACGCUGGCGGCAGGCCUAACACAUGCAAGUCGAACGGUAACAGGAAGCAGCUUGCUGCUUCGCUGACGAGUGGCGGACGGGUGAGUAAUGUCUGGGAAACUGCCUGAUGGAGGGGGAUAACUACUGGAAACGGUAGCUAAUACCGCAUAACGUCGCAAGACCAAAGAGGGGGACCUUAGGGCCUCUUGCCAUCGGAUGUGCCCAGAUGGGAUUAGCUAGUAGGUGGGGUAACGGCUCACCUAGGCGACGAUCCCUAGCUGGUCUGAGAGGAUGACCAGCCACACUGGAACUGAGACACGGUCCAGACUCCUACGGGAGGCAGCAGUGGGGAAUAUUGCGCAAUGGGCGCAAGCCUGAUGCAGCCAUGCCGCGUGUAUGAAGAAGGCCUUCGGGUUGUAAAGUACUUUCAGCGGGGAGGAAGGGAGUAAAGUUAAUACCUUUGCUCAUUGACGUUACCCGCAGAAGAAGCACCGGCUAACUCCGUG
rnacentral:rRNA from 1 species